rnacentral:tRNA from 3 species
GCCGCCGUAGCUCAGUUGGCAGAGCAACGCAUUCGUAAUGCGUAGGUCAGGAGUUCGACUCUCCUCGGCGGCUC